rnacentral:tRNA from 1 species
GGUAUAGUUCAGUUGGUAGAGUGCUUGUCUCACAUGCACAAGACUCUGGGUUCAAUCCCCAGCAAACCA